CAGGAAGAUUUUAAUGUGUUACCGAAAGAGACAAGACACACACUUCAACACGACACAACAGGUCAGAAGGCAAUGAGCCGGAGCACGAAUACAUGGAAUGGUCGUCCAGGGUGGGUGUCGCCUGGCUCAAUCCUUCCAGGAACUCUUGCUGGAAUACCACAAGCAAUUCUGCAAGAGGAUGGUGAAGCAAUGAGGCAACUUAAUUUGUUAAGCAGUCAGCAGAGCUGCUUAUAAAAUAUUUACGGUUCCGAGACGUAACCACACAAAGGAAGGUCUUCAGAGUACAUAGCAAACCGCACAGUCAACACAACCCCCUCGUUAGCAAGGCUGUCUA